rnacentral:rRNA from 1 species
GACGUAGGGCGCGAGCGUUGUCCGGAUUUAUUGGGCGUAAAGAGCUCGUAGGCGGCUUGUCGCGUCGUCCGUGAAAACCUGCGGCUCAACUGCAGGCUGGCGGUCGAUACGGGCAGGCUGGAGUUCGGUAGGGGAGACUGGAAUUCCUGGUGUAGCGGUGAAAUGCGCAGAUAUCAGGAGGAACACCGGUGGCGAAGGCGGGUCUCUGGGCCGAUACUGACGCUGAGGCGCGAAAGCUAGGGGAGCAAACGGG